rnacentral:rRNA from 1 species
AUGGCAAUUUGGCAUAUUUGGGAGAAUAGAAAUGCUCAUCGUAAUGAUGAGGCUUUAAUUCACCCACUUCGUGUUGUGGGAAAGAUCAAAGCCUAUAUUGAGUUCAUCAAUUUGCAUCUUUUCAGUUCGACCAAUUUCAAUAGGCGUGAGGCCUUGAAGUCUAGCCAAAAUUGGUCUCCGCCGCCGGAAGGGUCGAUGCUUAUCAACGUGGAUGCAACAAUCUUUCCUCAGUCUACAAGAGCUGGAUUUGGCGUGGUCAUUCGCGAUCAUCGGGGGAUGGUGCAAGCGGCAAGCAGAGGCUACUUUGCUCGAAUCCAAAAUCCUGAAGUUGCAGAAGCCAUGGCACUUCGUCAAGCUUUAGUUCUUGCUGGGGAGAGAGGUAUGCAGAGAGUAAUGGUGGCUUCUGAAUGAUUAUCGCUGAUCAACAAAAUCAAAGAACCAAAUUUGGAUAGAUCCCCUACGGGAGCAAUAGUCCACGAUAUCAAGAACUGGGCUACAAAGUUUAGGUCUUGUAACUUUAUCCAUGUUUAUCGAUCAUGUAAUUUGGCAGCUCACACUCUUGCCAGGUUGGCAGAGUAUGAUGGUAGAUCAUGUUGGUUUAAUGAGACUCCUAAUGUUAUCAGGACCAUUAUCUGUAAUGAACAAGCUUAUGUAUAA